rnacentral:rRNA from 1 species
UUGGAGGGCAAGUCUGGUGCCAGCAGCCGCGGUAAUUCCAGCUCCAAUAGCGUAUAUUAAAGUUGCUGCAGUUAAAAAGCUCGUAGUUGAAUUUCGGGAUCAGAUUGUCGGUCGUGCCUCGGUACGCACUGGCAUUAUUGGUUCCUACCUUCUGAAGAACCGCGAUGUCAUUAAUUUGGUGUCGUGGGGAAUCAGGACUGUUACUUUGAAAAAAUUAGAGUGUUUAAAGCAGGCUUACGCUUGAAUACAUUAGCAUGGAAUAAUGAAAUAGGACGUUUGAUUCUAUUUUGUUGGUUUCUAGGAUUGACGUAAUGAUUAAUAGGGAUAGUUGGGGGCAUUAGUAUUCAAUUGUCAGAGGUGAAAUUCUUGGAUUUAUUGAAGACUAACUACUGCGAAAGCAUUUGCCAAGGAUGUUUUCAUUAAUCAAGAACGAAAGUUAGGGGAUCGAAGACGAUCAGAUACCGUCGUAGUCUUAACCAUAAACUAUGCCGACUAGGGAUCGGAUGAUGUUAAUUUAUAAUGACUCAUUCGGCGCCUUACGAAAC